rnacentral:rRNA from 1 species
CGAAAGCCUGACGGAGCAAUACCGCGUGAGGGAGGAAGGCCUUUGGGUUGUAAACCUCUUUUCUCAGGGAAGAAGAUCUGACGGUACCUGAGGAAUAAGCAUCGGCUAACUCCGUGCCAGCAGCCGCGGUAAUACGGAGGAUGCAAGCGUUAUCCGGAAUUAUUGGGCGUAAAGCGUCCGCAGGUGGUUUUUCAAGUCUGCUGUCAAAGACCAGAGCUCAACUCUGGGCCGGCGGUGGAAACUGGGAAACUAGAGUUCGGUAGGGGUAGCGGGAAUUCCCAGUGUAGCGGUGAAAUGCGUAGAUAUUGGGAAGAACACCAGUGGCGAAAGCGCUCAACUGGGCCGUAACUGACACUCAGGGACGAAAGCUAGGGUAGCG